UACGUAGGGGGCUAGCGUUGUCCGGAAUCAUUGGGCGUAAAGCGCGUGUAGGCGGCCCGGUAAGUCCGCUGUGAAAGUCGGGGGCUCAACCCUCGGAUGCCGGUGGAUACUGUCGGGCUCGAGUACGGAAGAGGCGAGUGGAAUUCCUGGUGUAGCGGUGAAAUGCGCAGAUAUCAGGAGGAACACCAAUUGCGAAGGCAGCUCGCUGGGACGUAACUGACGCUGAGACGCGAAAGCGUGGGGAGCAAACAGA
rnacentral:rRNA from 1 species